CAGUCGCCGCGGUAAAACGUAUGUCACAAGCGUUAUCCGGAUUUAUUGGGCGUAAAGCGCGUCUAGGCGGUUAAUUAAGUCUGAUGUGAAAAUGCGGAGCUCAACUCCGUAUUGCGUUGGAAACUGGUUAACUAGAGUACUGGAGAGGUAAGCGGAACUACAAGUGUAGAGGUGAAAUUCGUAGAUAUUUGUAGGAAUGCCGAUGGGGAAGCCAGCUUACUGGACAGAUACUGACGCUAAAGCGCGAAAGCGUAGGUAGCAAACAGGAUUAGAUACCCCAGUAGUCCCUGUCUCUUAUACA
rnacentral:rRNA from 1 species